rnacentral:rRNA from 1 species
UGAGUACGAGCUGCUACGGCAGCGAAGUGGGUGAUGUCAAGCUUCCAAGAAAAGCCCUAUACCCGUUAAGGCAUGAUGGCCUGUACCCGAAACCGACACAGGUGGGGUGGUAGAGAAUACCGAGGGGCGCGAGAUAACUCUCUCUAAGGAACUCGGCAAAAUGGCCCCGUAACUUCGGGAGAAGGGGUGCCACCGCAAGGUGGUCGCAGUGAAGAGGCCCAGGCGACUGUUUACCAAAACACAGGUCUCCGCUAAGUCGCAAGACGAUGUAUGGGGGCUGACGCCUGCCCAGUGCCGGAAGGUUAAGGAAGCUGGUCAGCGUAAGCGAAGCUAGCGACUGAAGCCCCGGUGAACGGCGGCCGUAACUAUAACGGUCCUAAGGUAGCGAAAUUCCUUGUCGGGUAAGUUCCGACCCGCACGAAAGGCGUAACGAUCUGGGCGCUGUCUCGGAGAGAGGCUCGGCGAAAUAGAAUUGUCUGUGAAGAUGCGGACUACGUGCACCCGGACAGAAAGACCCUAUGAAGCUUUACUGUAGCUUGGUAUUGUGCCCGGGCUCUGAAUGCGCAGGAUAGGUGGGAGGCUUUGAUCCAUUGCUUGUGGGUGAUGGUGAGCCAACGGUGAGAUACCACUCUUUCAGAGCUAGGGUUCUAACGGUCACCCGUCAUCCGGGGACCGGACAGUAUCAGGUGGGCAGUUUGACUGGGGCGGUCGCCUCCUAAAAGGUAACGGAGGCGCGCAAAGGUUUGCUCAGGCUGUUGGAAAUCAGCCGACGAGUGUAAAAGCAGAAGCAAGCUUGACUGUGAGACCUACAAGUCGAACAGGGACGAAAGUCGGCUUUAGUGAUCCGACGGUUCUCAGUGGAAGGGCCGUCGCUCAACGGAUAAAAGUUACUCUAGGAUAACAGGCUGAUCUCCCCCAAGAGUUCACAUCGACGGGGAGGUUUGGCACCUCGAUGUCGGCUCAUCGCAACCUGGGGCUGAAGUCGGUCCCAAGGGUUGGGCUGUUCGCCCAUUAAAGCGGUACGCGAGCUGGGUUCAGAACGUCGUGAGACAGUUCGGUCCAUAUCCGGUGCAUGCGCAGGAAUAUUGAGAGGAUUUCUCCCUAGUACGAGAGGACCGGGAGGAACGCACCUCUGGUGUGCCAGUUAUCGUGCCAACGGUAAACGCUGGGUAGCCAUGUGCGGAGAGGAUAACCGCUGAAAGCAUCUAAGUGGGAAGCCCACCUCAAGAUGAGUAUUCCUAUGGCGUUAGCCAGUAAGGUCACGGGCAGAACACCCGUUGAUAGGCUCUACGUGGAAGCCGGGUAACCGGUGAAGCGGAGGAGUACUAAUAGACCGAGGGCUUGAC